AGUGACAAUGGGAGAAGCUCUCUGGUUGUGUGCUCCUAUCCCUACAGCCACUCAUGAAAGUGCACCAGAAUGGAUGUUUGCAGGGCAACCUGAGGAACCAGACAGAAGACCUAAGGAGAACCAGAAAUAUUCCCUCUUUUUUAAGGUUUGCUGACUACAGUUCAAUUACCUACAAAGAGAGGUGUCAGCUGAGAUGAGUAGAAUUGGAAGAAAAUGUCUCUGGUUGUCUAAGGUACACUGCCAUAUUUCUAAUCUGUGGAUAAGCAGCAAUCAGCAAAACUCACAAUAAGCGAUACAGGAGCUGAUGUCACUGUAAUAUCGGAAGCAGAGUGGCCAAAGGAUUGGCCUGUUACCCUCCCUCGAGGAACUUUGUCAGGAGUUGGAGGUAAUGCCACGACAAAAAUAGUGGACCUACGUGGAUCCCAGCAAAACAGGUGAAACCGGCAGUAGAAAAGGAACCUUCAUUGGAUGGAUCAUCUUUGGAGCUGCAAUCAUCACAACAAUGACAGCAGGACCAUGGGCCAUCCAAACAAGACAAAACUUAUGGGUGUCUUUUGCAAACUUAACAGGGCAAGACUCAUUGUGUCUGUCAUUAGCCACACCCGGAGAUCCAUUCAGAACAUGUCUUAUUGGGAAGGCGGUAAAGGACUUUAAAGAUUUUUGGGAGUAUGUGAAUGAUGCUAGAGUCUUAAAUAACGUGCAAAAUGCUAGCGACAUUCAAAAGAUCAUUCAGGCAUUAAAUCACAUUGGGCCAGACCCUGAAGAAUUAAACAUUCUUGCAUCAGGAGGAAAUAAUAGUUGUGUGAGAUUUAGUAAGAGAGGAAGAGGCAAAGUCACAGUGGAAUCAUUGGGGUUAAUGACUCAAUUUCUCAGUACAAGGAUCAGGACAGAAAGAGUUAGGGCAUGGCUGGACGAUUCAGACAUGCAAGUUUUAGACCCACAUAAUCCUAUAUAUCAGAAUACAUCUUGGUGGUAUGGAGGACAAAUUAAAAUAGUUGAAUCAAAGUUAAUUGACAAACCAAGGAUGCCACCACCAGGAGUAUUUUUGAUUUGUGGUGAUAAAGCAUGACCUGGAGUCCCAGCCAAACCAACGGGAGGACCUUGUAUGUUAGGGAGAUUAACUAUGUUAGUCCCAUCCAUGAUGUAGUUAUUCAAACAAACAAAACAAAGGCAAAAAAGAGAUUUAGGAUAUCAGCAAGGUUGUAAUUUGAAGGUGGUUAAUUGGGGAAAAGCAGUAAGAGUAUUAGUAGCUUUGUUUGCUCCAAAUGUAGGUAUAGGUAAAGCUUUAGGUAACAUAGAUAAGUUGUCAUGUUGGGUGGUGAAGCAAAUGAAUUUAACCUCAGCUUUAAUAUCAGAAUUAGCAGUAGAUGUAAAUUCAGUAAGGCACGCAAUGCGUCAGAAUAUAGCAGCCAUAGAUUUUUUAUUGUUAGCUCAAGGGCAUGGAUGUGAGGAUUCUGAAGGAAUGUGUUGUAUGAAUUUGUCAGAUCAUAUGGAGUCCAUUCACAAACAAUUAAGACAAUUAAAAGAUUUGACCAAAGAUUUGAAGAGUAAAAAGGAUCCAGAAUAGUUAAGAGGGCUGUUAUAUGGAUGGGGGCAUCAUGGGAUGGUUACAAGAAGUAAUUCUCUGGGGAGGAAUGGUUUUAUUGGUGAUUUUGAUUGUUGAUGUUACCUUGCUUUUUGCAGUGUAUUCAAGGGGUGAUUCGAUGACAAUAUCAACAACUGCUUGCCUUGGUUGUUGAAAACAAAAAAGGGGGAAUUGUGGAGACAUUUUGCAUCAAUGAAGGCCAUGAUGCUCUUGAAGGCUUUUGAAUAACAGAAAAAUAAGGGCUUUGAAUAACAGAAAAAUAAGGUC